ensembl:lncRNA LINC02418 long intergenic non-protein coding RNA 2418
AGACCGCAGCCACUGACUGUUCCCGAGUCACCAGGCCACUCUUCUCUCCUGCCUCAUCGUCUUAUUCAGGGUCCACGUCAUUCUGCCACCUAUUUGAGGACACCAGGCCUUGGCUGUUUCUGCUUCUUGUACCUCCUGAGUCAGGUGGCGGUGGGGGAGGGCAGACGCCACACACACCUGGGUCCACUGGCCGCACGGCUCCUGGAAAUGCUAGUGUGACUUUCCUAAGGGUUCUUUCAAAGGACACUUUUAGACCUGCCUUUUGUCCCAAGGAUUCUAGUUGCUUCAUCUUUAGUACCACAGACUGGUGGCUAAACAACGAACAUUUACUCUGCCAGGACAACCUCGCUGCCCUCGUGGUUCCCAGCACCCGCCCGGACCUCCACACCAGGCUACUGUUUCCCCAAACGAACAUGCUACAGGCAGCUCCCCUUGGCCAAGCUCAUGAACUCCGGAGGGACUAGAGUAUACAAUCUGCACAGAGAAGUUCUUGUCUGGCUCCGAGUGUCCGUAUCGCGUGGCUGUAUCAUUUCAGAAAGCGUAUUCAAGGAGCGGUUAAAAAAUACUUCCACGACAAGGAGACAACAGUAAGCCCCAAAAUGAAGUUGGAGUUGUCUUUUCAUCAGAGGUUGAAGUCAUGAUCUUUGGAGCUGCAGAUAUUCCGGGAGGCCUUUUCCACGCCUGGGAGAGACGAGUAGAGACUCCGUGCAACCGGCUGCCAAUGAGGACCCAGGGCCGUGCCCUCCAAGGGGCAUCUUGCACCCUCUUCCCGUGACUCAGGAUGCUUAGGGGUCCUUAAUGAAAGCAGAAUGAAUCCUGCAUGUCCCCAGUAGCUUUGACCAGCCCGAUAGCGGCAGCUUCCGGGUGCUGCCCAUGACAGAGUGACCAUCCUGGAAAGGAGACCCGAUAAGGGCAGUGUCCCAUCCAAUGCCACAACAUGGCCCCCGCAGUUUCAUUGGUCCAAGUGUGUCCAGAAUUGGUGGGUUCUUGGUCUCACUGACUUCAAGAAUGAAGCCAUGGACCCUCGCGGGCCUCCAAAUCCUUCCUGGUUGUCUUCAGCUGCCUUCCCAGAGUCAGGUCUGUGGCUUGCCCCUAUCUGCAGUGGAUGGACAGUGUUUAUGGGCUCAUGAUCAGAAGACAGUGAAAAGGCCACAAGGAACGGAAAAGCAAAGUGGACACGAAGACAGACUCGGCUGGAGAAUCACGCCUGGCAUUCUCUGUAAUUUGAAUAAACCUGAAAGUGCACCGGUA